rnacentral:misc_RNA from 1 species
CUGUACCUCAAGCCCGGCUUGUGUUGUUGGGCCUACCGUCCACUGGACGGUGACCCGAAAGGCAGUGGCGGCGUCGCGUCCCGGUCCUUGAAGCGUAUGGGGCUUUGUCACCCGCUUGGAGGCCGGCCGACCCCGUAGCCCAUCGUGGAUCUUCCACAAUUCUUUCU